rfam:Oryza sativa Japonica Group DNA, chromosome 5, cultivar: Nipponbare, complete sequence.
AAACACCGUAGUUUUGCACCGUUUAUGUCUAACAUUUAGUCAUCCGUCUUAUUUGAAAGAUUUCUAUGAUUAGUAUUUUUUUUAUUUAGAUGAUAAAACAUGAAUAAUGCUUUAUGUGUGACUUUUUUUUUAAAAAAAUUAAAUAAGGCUGACGGUGAAUAUUGAACACGGAAAUCCAUAACUGCAUUUAAA